AUGGGUCAUCCUCGGUCACAGCCUGCACGCGGCAGCACUGUGCCCCUCACACCCAGCAGGUUCCUGCUCCAGCACGGCUCCUGGGCUGGCCCCAGGUGUUGGCCUCGGAAUGUGCAAUCCAAGCAGAAUUCACUGAGGCACGUGUUUGGCAGCGGGACCCAGCUCAGCGUUUUAGGUCAGCCCAAGGCCGCCCCCCUGGUCACUCUGUUCCCGCCCUCCUCUGAGGAGCUCCAAGCCAACAAGGCCACACUGGUGUGUCUCAUGAAUGACUUCUAUCCAGGAAUCUUGACGGUGGCCUGGAAGGCAGAUGGCUCCCCCAUCACCCAGGGAGUGGAGACCACCACACCCUCCAAACAGAGCAGCAACAAGUACGAGGCCAGCAGCUACCUGAGCCUCACGCCCGAGCAGUGGAAGUCUCGCAGCAGCUACAGCUGCCACGUCACGCACGAGGGGAAAACCGUGGAGAAGAGAGUGGCCACUGAAGGAUGUCCUUAGGCCCCCACCCCUCACCCCACCCACAGGGGCGUGGAGCUGCACGUUCCCAGGGGAGGGGUCUCUCCCUGCAUCCCAAGCCGUCCACGCUUCUUCCUGUACCCAGUAAACCCUCAGUAAAUAUGCUCUUCGUCAUCCAGAAA